rnacentral:rRNA from 1 species
UGGGGAAUAUUGGACAAUGGACGAAAGUCUGAUCCAGCAACGCCGCGUGAGCGAUGAAGGCCUUCGGGUCGUAAAGCUCUGUCAGAUGGAACGAAAGAAGCUAACCUAAUACGUUAGCUGUUGACGGUACCAUCAAAGGAAGCACCGGCUAACUCUGUGCCAGCAGCCGCGGUAAUACAGGGGGUGCGAGCGUUAAUCGGAAUUACUGGGCGUAAAGGGCGCGUAGGCGGUCGAGUAAGUCGGGUGUGAAAUCCCCGGGCUUAACCUGGGAAUUGCAUUCGAUACUGCUUGGCUAGAGUGUGGAAGAGGGAAGCGGAAUUUCCGGUGUAGCGGUGAAAUGCGUAGAUAUCGGAAGGAACACCAGUGGCGAAGGCGGCUUCCUGGUCCAACACUGACGCUGAGGCGCGAAAGCGUGGGGAGCAAACAGGAUUAGAUACCCCGGUAGUCCCUGAGCGGGCUGGCAAGGCGC